rnacentral:rRNA from 1 species
ACUGAGAUACGGCCCAGACUCCUACGGGAGGCAGCAGUAGGGAAUAUUGCGCAAUGGCCUAACGGCUGACGCAGCAACGCCGCGUGGAUGACGAAGCUCUUCGGAGUGUAAAAUCCUUUCAGUGGGGAAGAAUGUCUUCGGGCUUGACGGUACCCACAGAAGAAGUCCCGGCCAACUCCGUGCCAGCAGCCGCGGUAACACGGGGGGGACAAGCGUUGUUCGGAUUUACUGGGCGUAAAGCGCUCGUAGGCGGGCUUGCAAGUUGGAUGUGAAAACCGAAGGCUUAACCUUCGGCCUGCAUACAAAACUGCAAGUCUAGAGUACUGGAGAGGAUGGCGGAAUUCCUGGUGUAGCGGUGAAAUGCGUAGAUAUCAGGAGGAACACCGGUGGCGAAGGCGGCCAUCUGGACAGAUACUGACGCUGAGGGGCGAAGGCUAGGGUAGCAAACAGGAUUAGAUACCCUGGUAGUCCUAGCGGUAAACGAUGGGUACUAGGUGUUGGUGGUAUCGACCCCACCAGUGCCGCAGCUAACGCAUUAAGUACCCCGCCUGGGGAGUACGGUCGCAAGAUUGAAACUCAAAGGAAUUGACGGGGCCCCGCACAAGCGGUGGAGUAUGUGGUUUAAUUCGACAACGCGAAGAACCUUACCUGGGCUUGACAUGUAUGGGAAAGUCACAGAGAUGUGACCUCCUCUUCGGGGGCCGAUACACAGGUGCUGCAUGGCUGUCGUCAGCUCGUGCCGUGAGGUGUUGGGUUAAGUCCCGCAACGAGCGCAACCCUCGUCAUUAGUUGCCAUCAGGUUAUGCUGGGAACUCUAAUGAGACUGCCGGUGACAAGCCGGAGGAAGGUGGGGAUGACGUCAAGUCCUCAUGGCCCUUACGCCCAGGGCUACACACGUACUACAAUGGCCGGUAUAGCGGGUUGCAAGACCGCGAGGUGGAGCCAAUCCCCAAAACCGGCUUCAGUUCAGAUUGGAGUCUGCAACUCGACUCCAUGAAGGAGGAAUCGCUAGUAAUCGCAGAUCAGCAGGCUGCGGUGAAUACGUUCCCGGGGCUUGUACACACCGCCCGUCAAGCCAUGGGAGUGGGGGGUACCCGAAGUCGCCGAUCUAACUUCGGAUGACGGCGCCUAAGGUAAAACCCACGACUGGGGCUAAGUCGAAACAAGGUAGCCGUAGCGGAAGCUGCGGCUG